rnacentral:rRNA from 1 species
CGCGCAGGCGGUCUUGUCCGUCAGGUGUGAAAGCUCGGGGCUCAACCCCGAAAGUGCACUUGAAACAGCAAGACUUGAAUACGGGAGAGGAGAGAGGAAUUCCUGGUGUAGAGGUGAAAUUCGUAGAUAUCAGGAGGAACACCGAUGGCGAAGGCAUCUCUCUGGACCGAUAUUGACGCUGAGGCGCGAAGGCGUGGGUAGCGAACG